AAAUUUUUAGAGAGAGUAAGAGGACGUGAAACCGGUGAGGUGGAACGGAUAGAGUCGGCGUAUCAUUCAAUUAUUCAGUUACAUUAUUUUUAUGUUGUGACCUCUGAGCUCCAGAUUGGGACAGAGGGAAUCAGCAUAAUUUUUUGUGGUGCAUUUACUUGAUUGGUGCUUGGGGAUGUUUGAGGCAGAUUUGUUUCCGUCGUUUUGAGGCCAGCUUGCUGGUACCCAAACGGUGUUAGCAUUUUUUGUCUUGGGCAUUUGAGUAUGGCUCACGUGUAUUUAUUGGACAGAUCUGAGUGUAAGUUACGGUCGCAUGCGACACGUGCUUUUCAAUUAGUUCGGUCCAGUUAAUGCUCUCGUACUCGUUCCCCAUGUAAAAGCCGGUCAUCUAUCCGACCCGUCUUGAAACACGGACCAAGGAGUUUAUCGUGUGCGCAAGUUUUUGGGUGUUAAAAACUUAAAAGCGAAAUGAAAGUAAAUGACUCUUUAGAGUCUGAUGUGCGAUCUUGUAAAAAAGUGUAGCAUGGCCCCAUUCUAACUGUUUACAGUAGGGUGGCGGAAGAGCGUACGCGGUGAGACCCGAAAGAUGGUGAACUAUUCCUGAGCAGGACGAAGCCAGAGGAAACUCUGGUGGAAGUCCGAAGCGGUUCUGACGUGCAAAUCGAUCGUCUGACUUGGGUAUAGGGGCGAAAGACUAAAUCAAACCAUCUAGUAGCUUUUUCUUUUCCCGAAAAAAAA
rnacentral:rRNA from 1 species